CUCAGCCUCUCCGUAUGCAGGAGCUGGUUUCCCUCCCACCUUUGCCAUUCCUCAAGCUGCAGGCCUUUCCGUUCCCAACGUCCACGGCGCCCUGGCCCCCCUGGCCAUCCCCUCGGCGGCGGCGGCAGCUGCGGCGGCAGGCCGGAUCGCCAUCCCGGGCCUGGCGGGGGCAGGAAAUUCUGUAUUGCUGGUCAGCAACCUCAACCCAGAGGUACGUGGGCUUUUCCUCCGCGCCGCCGUUCCUCCCGGAAGAGCGAGCAGGGGAUGUUGUGCUCGGGCUCGGGUCCCGGAGCAGCGCCGCCCCUCGCUGUGUCUGCGCCUCUGCCCCGGCAGCCCCUCUGCUGCAGCGCUGAGACCCUCCUUUUCCAAGAUGGCUUGAGUUUUCCUGUUUUCCUGAAUUCACAUCUUGGUUCGCGUUUUCCCUUCCAUGAUAUGCAGCAUGAAUUAUUUUUUGGUUACCCGGAGGCAAUCUAAAAGUUACUUGGAGCUGAGCAGGGCGCGCAGUUCAGAGCCCCAGCAGGCCGCCCUGCUGGUCAGCAGGACACACAGGGUUAUUAGCGCGGCGGGUGGUGGCUCGAGAGCCUGUCACUUAACUGGUGGAUCCGUUAUUUCUCAGAAUGGUUAAAUUCCCCUCGGGGAGAGCUUGGGUGAAACAAGAGGCCCAAAAUAUGUA
rnacentral:sRNA from 1 species